rnacentral:tRNA from 1 species
GGUUCAUUAGUCUAGUGGUUAGGACACUGGAUUUUGAUCCUCAAAAUUCAUUCCAGGAACGCCGGUUCGAGUCCGGCAUGAACCU